GUUUAUACAUAUUCAGAACAGCUGCUUCCUUUGGGUUUCUGGUGGCAGGGAUAUUAUAAAGGUACUAUGUAAAAAGGAUAUAGAAUGACGAGUGAGGAUUAAAAGGGCAAAGAGAGGAAAACAAUCCUCUGGAGGAAUUCUUGGGCAAAUGGAAACAAUUAAAUGUGGCAGGAGAGAAUGAAGAAGAUAAAAUUUGGAUUGAAGGUGGAAAAAAUGAAAGCAGUGGAAGGGAAGAGAUCACUGAGAAUCCAAACAGGGCCAGGGAUAACUGGUACACGCUAACCUUCAUUCAAAGAAAGCUAAGAUGAUCACGCAUAAAAAAGCCAAAUUUGCACUUUUCUGCUCUGCCAGAAGUCUUCCUCACCAGCUGCAUCCCUCUCUUUCUGUAUACACAAUAGUACCUCUGAACAGUAGUGAACAUGAAUUGUCUUCGUGGCACAGCUAAGCCUGAAUGAUGUUAACAUUUCACAGAGACACAAAUACAAACAUUCUCUAAAACUAUCUGCAACAGCUCAUUACCCAAAACUACCUGCAAGGAUUCAUAAAGCAAAAUAAGUCAGACUCACCAACUUAAAUGGAUUAAUAGUGUUUCAUUUCCAAUGUCCCUGUCGAUGCUCUGUGAGAUUUUGCUAUUCCUUAUUGUUGACUGGUAUACCAUCGAUGGUUAUACCACAAUUUAUUUAACCAAAUGCCUGUAGAUGAACACUUGGGUUGUUGGCAGCUUUGAGCUAUUAUAAAUGAAGCUACUAUAAACAUUUUACACAAACCACUUUGCGGACAUAUACCUUCAUUUGUCUUGGAUGAAGACCUACCAAGAAGAGGAAUUGCUGGAUCAUAAGUCUAUGUUUCUUGGAUUCUUUAACAUAAGUUAGCACAUAUGACUUCUGCUGGAAUGAAAAUGACAUGCCUGGAAUUUCUUUUGUUUGGCUCUUCCAGGUAAACCAGCAUGCAGCUAAAGUAGUU